GAUGAAGAACGUAGCGAAAUGCGAUAAGUAAUGUGAAUUGCAGAAUUCAGUGAAUCAUCGAAUCUUUGAACGCACAUUGCGCCCGCCAGUAUUCUGGCGGGCAUGCCUGUUCGAGCGUCAUUACAACCCUCAGGCCCCCGGGCCUGGCGUUGGGGAUCGGCGGAGCCCCCCGUGGGCACACGCCGUCCCCCAAAUGCAGUGGCGGUCCCGCCGCAGCUUCCAUCGCGUAGUAGCUAACACCUCGCGACUGGAGAGCGGCGCGGCCACGCCGUAAAACACCCAACUCUUCUGAAGUUGACCUCGAAUCAGGUAGGAAUACCCGCUGAACUUAAACAUAUCAAUAAGCGGAGGA
rnacentral:misc_RNA from 1 species